GCGAGUGAAGCGGCAACAGCUCAGAUUUGAAAUCUAUUUAUUUAAUAAAUCGAAUUGUAAUCUGUAGAAGGUAGAAUGGCACGAAUAUUUUGAUUUAAAUUUAUUGGAAUAUAAUAUCAUAGAGGGUGAGAAUCCCGUUUUUAUCGAAAAAUAAUGCCGUCAGUUCUCCUUUCGACGAGUCGAGUUGUUUGGGAAUGCAGCUCUAAAUGGGUGGUAAAUUUCAUCUAAAGCUAAAUACCUGCCAGAGACCGAUAGCGAACAAGUAGAGUGAUCGAAAGAUGAAAAGCACUUUGAAAAGAGAGUUAAAUAGUACGUGAAAUUGUUGAAAGGGAAGCGCUUGCGAUUAGACUUGAUAAUUAAAUUCGAUCAAUUUAUUUUAAUUCGAUUUAUUUUUUAUUUUAUCAGGCCAGCAUCAGUUUGACGAUAUUUAUAAAAUUAAAAGAAAUGUAGUACCCACCUCGGUGGUUAUGUUAUAUUCUUUUAAAUAAUAAAUUUACAUUAGACUGAGGUCUGCCCUUUUUGGAAGGAUGCUGGCAUAAUGAUCGUAAGCGACCCGUCUUGAAACACGGAGUAUCGGUAACCAACAUUAUGCCGACAUCUUCAAAAGGGCACACUCGGCUGAUGAAAAGUUUAUUAUUUAAAAGAAUAUAAAUAACCCCGAGGUGGGUACUACAUUUCUUUUAAUUUUAUAAAUAUCGUCAACUGAUGCUGGCUGAUAAAAUAAAAAAAUAAAUCGAAUUAAAAUAAAUUGAUCGAAUUUAAUUAUCAGUCUAAUCGCAGGCGCUUCCUUUCCAAA
rnacentral:rRNA from 1 species